rnacentral:rRNA from 1 species
AGUGAACGCUGGCGGUAGGCCUAACACAUGCAAGUCGAACGGCAGCACAGGAGAGCUUGCUCUCUGGGUGGCGAGUGGCGGACGGGUGAGGAAUACAUCGGAAUCUACUUUUUCGUGGGGGAUAACGUAGGGAAACUUACGCUAAUACCGCAUACGACCUACGGGUGAAAGCAGGGGAGCUUCGGACCUUGCGCGAUUGAAUGAGCCGAUGUCGGAUUAGCUAGUUGGCGGGGUAAAGGCCCACCAAGGCGACGAUCCGUAGCUGGUCUGAGGGGAUGAUCGGCCACACUGGAACUGAGACACGGUCCAGACUCCUACGGGAGGCAGCAGUGGGGAAUAUUGGACAAUGGGCGCAAGCCUGAUCCAGCCAUACCGCGUGGGUGAAGAAGGCCUUCGGGUUGUAAAGCCCUUUUGUUGGGAAAGAAAUCCAGCUGGUUAAUACCCGGUUGGGAUGACGGUACCCAAAGAAUAAGCACCGGCUAACUUCGUGCCAGCCGCCGCAGUAA